GACGAACGCUGGCGGCGUGCUUAACACAUGCAAGUCGAGCGGUAAGGCCCUUUCGGGGGUACACGAGCGGCGAACGGGUGAGUAACACGUGGGUGACCUGCCCUCAGCUCUGGGAUAAGCCUGGGAAACCGGGUCUAAUACUGGAUAUGACUCCAUGACGCAUGUUGUGGAGUGGAAAGCCUUGUGCGGCUGAGGAUGGGCCCGCGGCCUAUCAGCUUGUUGGUGGGGNGAUGGCCUACCAAGGCGACGACGGGUAGCCGGCCUGAGAGGGCGACCGGCCACACUGGGACUGAGACACGGCCCAGACUCCUACGGGAGGCAGCAGUGGGGAAUCUUGCGCAAUGGGCGAAAGCCUGACGCAGCGACGCCGCGUGAGGGAUGACGGCCU
rnacentral:rRNA from 1 species